GUGCCAGCAGCCGCGGUAAUACGGAGGGUGCAAGCGUUGUCCGGAAUCACUGGGCGUAAAGGGCGCGUAGGCGGUUCGUUAAGUCGUUGGUGAAAUCCCGGGGCUCAACUCCGGGGCGGCCAGCGAGACUGGCGGGCUCGAGCACGGUAGAGGCAGAUGGAAUUCCCGGUGUAGCGGUGGAAUGCGUAGAUAUCGGGAAGAACACCAGUGGCGAAGGCGUUCUGCUGGGCCGUUGCUGACGCUGAGGCGCGACAGCGUGGGGAGCAAACAGGAUUAGAAACCCGCGUAGUCC
rnacentral:rRNA from 1 species